rnacentral:rRNA from 1 species
AGCAUAUCAAUAAGCGGAGGAAAAGAACUAACAAGGAUUCCCCUAGUAACGGCGAGUGAAGCGGGAAGAGCUCAAAUUUAAAAUCUGGNNGUGUAUUCUGUCCGAGUGGUAGUCUAGAGAAGCAUCAUCCGUGCUGGACCAUGUACAAGUCUCUUGGAACAAAGCGUCAUAGAGGGUGAGAAUCCCGUCCUUGACAUGGACUCCCAGUACUUUGUGUUGUGCUCUCAACGAGUCGAGUUGUUUGGGAAUGCAGCUCAAAAUGGGUGGUAAAUUCCAUCUAAAGCUAAAUAUUGGCGAGAGACCGAUAGCGAACAAGUACCGUGAGGGAAAGAUGAAAAGCACUUUGGAGAGAGAGUUAAACAGUACGUGAAAUUGUUGAAAUGGAAACGCUUGAAGUCAGUCGCGUUCUCUGGGAUUCAGCCUGGCUUUUGCUUGGUGCAUUUCCCGGUCUACGGGCCANCAUGAAUUUUGACCAAUGGAAAAAGGCUUGGGGAAUGUGGCACCUUCGGGUGUGUUAUAGCCCNUUGUCACAUACAUUGGUUGGGAUUGAGGUCUUAGUGCACGCUUCGGUUGUGCUUUGAUGCUGGCGUAAUGGCUUUAAACGACCCGUCUUGAAACACGGACCAAGGAGUCUAACAUGUCUGCGAGUGUUUGGGUGCAAAACCCGAGCGCGAAAUGAAAGUGAUAGUUGGGAACCUCUUCAGAGGGGCACCGACGCCCGGACCAGACCUUCUGUGACGGAUCCGAGGUANAGCAUAUAUGUUGGGACCCGAAAGAUGGUGAACUAUGCCUGCAUAGGGUGAACCAGAAGAAACUCUGGUGGAAGCUCGUAGCGAUUCUGACGUGCAAAUCGAUCGUCAAAUNUNGGUAUNGGGGCGAAAGACUAAUCNAACCAU